rnacentral:rRNA from 1 species
CCUACGGGUUGCACCAGUGGGGAAUAUUGCACAAUGGGCGCAAGCCUGAUGCAGCCAUGCCGCGUGUAUGAAGAAGGCCCUAGGGUUGUAAAGUACUUUCAGUCGGGAGGAAGGCGUUGAUGCUAAUAUCAUCAGCGAUUGACGUGACCGACAGAAGAAGCACCGGCUAACUCCGUGCCAGCAGCCGCGGUAAUACGGAGGGUGCAAGCGUUAAUCGGAAUUACUGGGCGUAAAGCGCACGCAGGCGGUUGAUUAAGUUAGAAGUGAAAUCCCCGGGCUUAACCUGGGAAUGGCAUCUAAGACUGGUCAGCUAGAGUCUUGUAGAGGGGGGUAGAAUUCCAUGUGUAGCGGUGAAAUGCGUAGAGAUGUGGAGGGAUACCGGUGGCGAAGGCGGCCCCCUGGACAAAGACUGACGCUCAGGUGCAAAAGCGUGGGGAGCAAACAGGAUUAGAUACCCUCGUAGUC